GUACGUGCUCUGGGGUCGGUGCAAUUCCGAGCCGGCGGUGACAGUCCGCGACCCGUGAGGUGCCUGAGGUGCUGAACGGUUGACCUGGUGGAACUCCGGGACCGACGGUGAAAGUCCGGAUGGGAAGAGACACGUGG
rnacentral:ncRNA from 2 species